rnacentral:rRNA from 1 species
UACGGGGGGAGCAAGCGUUGUUCGGAUUUGCUGGGCGUAAAGGGCUCGUAGGCGGCCAACUAAGUCAGACGUGAAAUCCCUCGGCUUAACCGGGGAACUGCGUCUGAUACUGGAUGGCUUGAGAUUGGGAGAGGGAUGCGGAAUUCCAGGUGUAGCGGUGAAAUGCGUAGAUAUCUGGAGGAACACCGGUGGCGAAGGCGGCAUCCUGGACCAACACUGACGCUGAGGAGCGAAAGCCAGGGGAGCAAACGGG